GUUGUGGCUCAGUGGUAGAGCGCUUGCCUGUCACCUGUGAGGCACUGGGUUCGAUCAACAGCACCACA
rnacentral:tRNA from 1 species